rnacentral:lncRNA from 1 species
AUAAUAACAAACAAACAAGGAUGAAAUCCAAAAAGCGGAUACCGGAUGCCAAUCAUUGGGCUUAUACCAAUCUCCUAAAACAGAACGGGAUAUCAGAUGCCACUCAAUGGACUUACACUAAUCUCCUCCAAAGAAAACAAAGGAUGAAAUAUGGAAGUCAACUGCCAAUCUGUCUGGACUUAGGUUAACCACACACAUGCUCAUAGGAAUACCAAUGCCACAUUACAGGGACUUACAAUGGAUCCUCACAUACAAGAACAAAA